rnacentral:rRNA from 1 species
GUGGGGAAUAUUCCGCAAUGGACGAAAGUCUGACGGAGCAACGCCGCGUGAGUGAUGAAGGUUUUCGGACUGUAAAGCUCUGUUGUUUAGGACGAAAGUGCCUGUUGCAAAUAGUUACAGGUAUUGACGGUACUGAACGAGGAAGCCACGGCUAACUACGUGCCAGCAGCCGCGGUAAUACGUAGGUGGCAAGCGUUGUCCGGAAUUAUUGGGCGUAAAGAGCAUGUAGGCGGGAAUCUAAGUCUGUUGUGAAAAUGCGGGGCUCAACCCCGUAUUGCGAUGGAAACUGGGUUUCGUGAGUGCAGGAGAGGAAAGGGGAAUUCCCAGUGUAGCGGUGAAAUGCGUAGAUAUUGGGAGGAACACCAGUGGCGAAGGCGCCUUUCUGGACUGUGUCUGACGCUGAGAUGCGAAAGCCAGGGUAGCGAACGGGAUUAGAAACCCCAGUAGUCC